rnacentral:rRNA from 1 species
GACGAACGCUGGCGGCGUGCUUAACACAUGCAAGUCGAACGAAGUGGCGAACGGGUGAGUAACGCGUAAUUAACCUGCCCUUCAGAGGGGGAAAACAGUUGGAAACGACUCCUAAUACCCCAUACUGAAGGAGGGGAUUGCGUCGGAUUAGCUAGUUGGGGGGGUAACGGCCCACCAAGGCGAUGAUCAGUAGGCGGGCUGGGGGGAUGAACGGCCACAUUGGGACUGGGAAACGGCCCAGACUCCUACGGGAGGCAGCAGUGGGGAAUCUUCCGCAAUGGACGGAAGUCUGACGGAGCAACGCCGCGUGAGUGAUGACGGCCCUUGGGUUUGAAAGCUCUGUUAAUCGGGAAGCGUUACCGGAAUAGAAAGCCACGGCUAACUACGUGCCAGCCGCCGCGGUAAUUC